GUACUGGGAAGAUUUCAGCUUUUAACUUAGUGUACUAGGAAGGAUGUAAGAAGGAGAAAACGGCCUCAACCCGAUGAUGUAAAGUACUCUGCACUCCUGGACGGCUUUGGGUGUUGGGGUUGAUUGAUUUUUAUAGGCAUUAGCCAAUAUGCACAGUGUGGCCAAGUUCAAUUACACAAUUCGACGAGUUGACAAACAUGGGUUUGCGUCCCCCGGCCGGGGGACGCGCGACCACUUUCUCUAAGACACCCGAAAAGCCCGAACUUCUGGGACAAGUACUCUAAGUGCACAACAGACUAUUGAUAUCAACCGCUAAAGCCAUGCGCCAAGUGACAGCAGUGACCGGAGGGGUUCAUUGCUGCCUAGGUUGACACAGCCAGCUGCUCAGGUGCAUUCCUAUGCUCAGGAAGCAUACACUACAUGCAACUACAUUACUAAAGUAAGUUUACAGCUCAGGAAGUGCGGCGGUCUCAGCUUGGCCGUCAGCGACUGCCGGAGGGUUACUGGGGGGUUCAGGGGCUCGGCAGGGGCGAGGCCGCCCCAAGGAUCCCACAGGCCUCGCCCCAGACUUCUCGCCCCUAUGUUCCCACUUAACAAACAUACAUUUGGGAGCUCUUACAUGGCCUUCUGGGCUGGCGAGGGUACAGGGGCCAG
rnacentral:lncRNA from 1 species